AUCUGGUGGCGACCGGCGCAAGGGUGCGUAACGCGUGAGCAACAUGCCCGUAUCAGGGGAAUAAUCCAGGGAAACUUGGUCUAAUACCCCAUAGUAAAUAUUAAAGGCAUCUUUAAUAUUUNNNNGCUUUGGUGGAUACGGAUUGGCUCGCGUGACAUUAGCUAGAUGGUAAGGUAACGGCUUACCAUGGCUACGAUGUCUAGGGGUUCUGAGAGGAAGAUCCCCCACACUGGAACUGAGACACGGUCCAGACUCCUACGGGAGGCAGCAGUGAGGAAUAUUGGACAAUGGAUGGAAAUCUGAUCCAGCCAUGCCGCGUGCAGGAAGACGGCCCUAUGGGUUGUAAACUGCUUUUAUAUGGGAGCAAUAAGGCCUACGUGUAGGUUGAUGAGAGUACCAUAUGAAUAAGCACCGGCUAACUCCGUGCCAGCAGCCGCGGUAAUACGGAGGGUGCAAGCGUUAUCCGGAUUUAUUGGGUUUAAAGGGUGCGUAGGCGGUUUGAUAAGUCAGCGGUGAAAUAUUUCAGCUUAACUGGAAGGGUGCCGUUGAUACUGUCAGGCUUGAAUUUAGUUGCUGUGGGUGGAAUGUGUGGUGUAGCGGUGAAAUGCAUAGAUAUCACACAGAAUAUCGAUUGCGAAGGCAGCUCACAAAGCUAAAAUUGACGCUGAUGCACGAAAGUGUGGGGAUCAAACAGGAUUAGAUACCCUGGUAGUCCACACUGUAAACGAUGAUAACUCGCUGUCGGCGAUACAUAGUCGGUGGCCAAGCGAAAGCGAUAAGUUUUCCACCUGGGGAGUACGACCGCAAGGUUGAAACUCAAAGGAAUUGACGGGGGCCCGCACAAGCGGAGGAACAUGUGGUUUAAUUCGAUGAUACGCGAGGAACCUUACCCGGGCUCGAACGGUGCAUGAAUGAU
rnacentral:rRNA from 1 species